CUUAUCCUCUCUCUCAGUUGAGCCCAGCCACUCGUUUCCUAUCCCUUCUCUCAAUCCCUCUAAUUUCAAUCCCAUCCCACCACAACCACUCUUUGCUAGCCAUGGCUAGCCACGCCACAGCAAUCUUCCCCGACGAGUUUGUCCUGCUGCGGUGCUCCCGCAACUCCUCCCUCACCCACAGAUGCGGGAGUGGUGGUGUGGUGUGGGACGGUGAUGGAGAGCGCCGGUGGCCAUGAGACGGGUGGUGUAGCAAGCCACAGCUAGAACAACCAUGGUGGUGACCGGACAACAGUCCAUCGGCGCUGCAAAACCAGCAGCCACAGGAAGCAUUUGGAGUAUCGAGCCUAUGAAGCGCAUCAACAUUUUUGUUUUUGUUGGUUGGCAUUUUGAAGCCCGUGGUCUGCAUCGUCUUGCAGUUCCUUUUCUACCAUCAGUUGGUGGCCUGUUUCUGCAACUAGACUUUUAGUGGGUGUUGUGAAACAGAAUGACGCUAUGGGAGCCAAUUUGUGGUUGUGGUGGACUUUCAGAGAGAAAUGAAGUCAUCGAGAUCGAGUUUCCUACUGAUGUUUCUACUCCAGGAAGCAAUGGAGGAUCAUCAAUCAUGUUUCUGUUUGUCUACGCCAAGACAGACGCAGCAGCCAUGGAUGGGACUUACCAUUUUGCUUUUUUGUAAUCCUUUGGCAUUGGGUUUGGAUGCUAGUUUGUAUUUGUAUACAUAUAGGAAGUGAAUUCUGUUUCGGUUAGUUUAGAGCCUUUUGCUUUCAUGAUAAAGCAGGGGCCUGAGACUGGCCUAAAAUUUGGCUGUGUAUGUAUGUAGGCUCAGGAGAAAAAGUUGAAAAAUAAGCUGUCUUUUAGAUA